rnacentral:lncRNA from 1 species
UCUCACUUUCAGGACAAAAUGUGAUUCAUUCUUUGCCAAGCAGCAGAAAUCACCAAGGAAUAGAGCUGGGCUUAUUGGCAAGAUGGAGUUGGCAUCUUUUAUAGCCUGCACAAAAAGAAGCAUUCCCAGCCCACAUCUGGAACUUUUAUGAAUCAACAAGAUGAUGCUUUCCACAGAGACCUCUCCCCUUCAGGAUAAAAUGAGCCUUUGCUUCCAACAACCAGAGGAGACGAUUGGGCCACUGUGAUUGUUUAUCAAGAUAAUUUCUUCAGCUCAUCCUGGGUAAAGAAGAAGGAUUUCUGUUCAUGAAGCAUGAAAAUGAACCCAUUCCAUAAUUUUAAAUGAUACCUUGGAGGUUUCUAAGAGUAUGGCAGAAAC